rnacentral:rRNA from 1 species
AAUAUUUCGCAAUGGAGGGAACGUUUACGCAGCGACGUCGCGUGGGCGAAGAAGGGCAUCGGAUCUUAAAGCUCUGUCUUUGGGGACGAAAGAAAUGACGGUACCCAACGAGGAGUCCUCGGCUAACUACGUGACACCAGCCGCGGUAACACGUAGGGGGCAAGCGUUGUCCGGAAUUACUGGGCGUAAAGGGUGCGUAGGCGGCAGAUUAAGUCAGGUGUGAAACCCCACGGCUCAACUGUGGACUUGCACAUGAAACUGGUAUGCUUGAGUACAGGAGAGGAAAGCGGAAUUCCUAGUGUAGUGGUGAAAUGCGUAGAUAUUAGGAAGAACACCAGUGGCGAAGGCGGCUUUCUGGACUGUAACUGACGCUGAGGCACGAAAGCGUGGGGAGCAAACA